UUGAAAGUAAUUUUGAAGAAAUGUAAAGUAAAGAACAUUUUUUCCAUUUUCGGGAAUUUGUGCAUGUAUGUGCAUGUGAGUACGUAUUUGAAGGAAGGGUUUUCACCCAUCCCUUUUUUCUUGUCGUUCAUAGCAGCCAAAAAAGAGUGAAACCCUAAAUCGUUUCCCCAUUUUUUCCUUUGUUUGGCGCCGUUCUAGCCCACGCCACCGCCUCCUCGCAAGAAAACCACUGCUGCCAUCACCUUGCUCCUGAUGUCACCAAAAAACUGAAAUGUAAUGGAGAAGAAUUCGACCUAGGGAUGUUGGGAUCGAAUCCAUCAUUUAAGGAAAGAUGUUAUACUACCUUGAUGUGAUGUUGUGUUGGAAUUCUCUAAGCUUCUUGCUUACCCUUUCACUUCUAAACAACUGUUUCAGGAGUUGCAGGAAGUAUUGCGUGCUAUAUGAAGUUGAAAGAAAUAUGUUGAUUGAAAUGUGAAAAGAGAUUCAAGAGGACCAUGAAAAAAUCAGGUUGAAAAUUAGAAGUUAUGUGAAUAAAUAUUAACAACCAACGAUAAAGCUUUGAAGCCAUGAUGCGGAAGUUUACCGAACAACAACCUAGAAGGUCAAUAAUUGCUAAUAUGAUUUAUCAUCUAUGUUUAGUAAACGUCUAUGAUGUUUUUAUUACUUUUUUUUGUGAUUAUAGUUGAUAAAUUUGUGUUUACUUUCAUUUAUGGUUGUUAUUUUGAAUUUAGACAUGUCAAAGGAGACCAUAAAAUUAU